GACGAACGCUGGCGGCGUGCUUAACACAUGCAAGUCGAACGGAAAGGCCCUGCUUUUGUGGGGUUCUCGAGUGGCGAACGGGUGAGUAACACGUGAGUAACCUGCCCUUGACUUUGGGAUAACUUCAGGAAACUGGGGCUAAUACCGGAUAGGAGCUCCUGCUGCAUGGUGGGGGUUGGAAAGUUUCGGCGGUUGGGGAUGGACUCGCGGCUUAUCAGCUUGUUGGUUGGGUAGUGGUUUACCAAGGCUUUGACGGGUAGCCGGCCUGAGAGGGUGACCGGCGACAAUGGGACUGAGAGACGCCGCAGAGUCCUACGGGAGGCAGCAGUGGGGAAUAUUGCACAAUGGGCGGACGCCUGAGGAAGCAGCGCCGCGUGCGGGAUGACGGCUUGCGGGUUGUAAAACGCUUUCGCCUGUGACGAAGCGUGAGUGACGGUAAUGGGUAAAGAAGCACCGGCUAACUACGUG
rnacentral:rRNA from 1 species